rnacentral:rRNA from 1 species
CCUACGGGAGGCAGCCGUGAGGAAUAUUGGUCAAUGGCCGGAAGGCUGAACCAGCCAAGCCGCGUGAAGGACGAAGGUGCCAAGCAUUGUAAACUUCUUUUGUCAAGGGACAAAAUCAGGUUCGAGAGCCUGACCGAGGGUACUUGAAGAAAAAGCAUCGGCUAACUCCGUGCCAGCAGCCGCGGUAAUAAGUAGGAUGCGAGCUUUAUCCCGGUUUAUUGGGUUUAACGGGUGCGUAGGCGGACUGUGAAGUCAGCGGUAAAAGCCCGGGGCUCAACCCCGGCGAGCCGGUGAACAUGGCUGUCUUGAGAUGUCGAGAGGUAUGCGGAAUGCGCAGUGUAGCGGUGAAAUGCUUAGAUAUUGCGCAGAACUCCGAUUGCGAAGGCAGCAUACCGGCGGCGAUCUGACGCUGAGGCACGAAAGCGUGGGUAUCGAACAGGAUUAGAUACCCGGGUAGUC